UGCCAGCCGCCGCGGUAAUACGGGGGAUGCAAGCGUUAUCCGGAAUCAUUGGGCGUAAAGCGCCUGUAGGUUGUUUAUUAAGUCUGUGGUUAAAGACUAGGGCUCAACCCUAGGAAAGCAAUGGAAACUAAUAGACUAGAGUAUGGCAGGGGUAGAGGGAAUUUCUAGUGUAGCGGUGAAAUGCGUAGAUAUUAGAAAGAAUACCAGUGGCGAAGGCGGCCUCCUGGAUCUGUACUGACGCUGAGGUGCGAAAGCGUGGGUAGCGAACAGGAUUAGAUA
rnacentral:rRNA from 1 species